GCAACCGAGGCUCAAGCAGCAACUUAGUUUUUGAGGCCAAUGCAAACAAUGCACCCUCCAUAAGAUGUGAGGCUAUUGUGCCACAGCAGUGCAUGAAUUGUUGCACUUUGUAUCAUUGUCCACUAUGCCCUGCCCUACAGUCUAUGAGGUUGGCAAGAAUCCAAUAGCAUUUAGAUGGACAUUUAAAAUAUGCAAUCAUUUUUGAAGAUAAGAGAAUAUGUCGUUGCCAUCUGCCAUGUAGGUCUGAGGGUCACUACCAUUGUCCGUUUUGCAUGAAGACAAUACUUAGAAGAAACAGUAUGGAGAGUCAUCUAAAAAUAUGCUCAAAAUCUGCAUCUGAGCCUUCCCACAGCCUACUUUUUCCAGUGCAAGAAUCUUCCCUCGACCUACCUGUUAUGCCACAAGAACCUUCCCACAACCUACCUGUUCCGGCACAAGAACCUUCCCACAGCCAAUCUGUUCCAGCACAAGAACCUUCCCACAACCUACCUGUGCCAGCACAAGAACCUUCCCAUACCAUACCGCUACCAGUACAAGAGCACUCCCAAGUUAAUGAGCUGGGUCCAGAAAACAGUUCUAAAAAAAGAAAUACAACAAAGUGCCCUCAUUGCUCAUUAGAUUUUCUCAAAAAGAAUUUGGACACACACAUAUUAAAAAAACAUACAGACAUAUCCCAGGAUGUAACACUCAUGUCUCAUCUUUCCAGCAUUUGUGUUGAUGUAUCUAAUGGAGUGUCAGUAGUUCAACAAACUGGCCUGUUCCGGUCCAUGUACAAAGGAAGACAACAGGCAACAUUCAUCAUGUUAAAUGUGAACUUGUGGAAUGCUGCCAAUUCCACCCUUUGGCUCAGAGAAGUGGAUUGCCUUUUAGUCAGUGUGAACAUCUCCGCUCACUUGAUUAUUGCCAUGACACUGCUUUUGAAGAUAUCUUAAAUCCCAUUGUUCUAGAUGAAAUGGUGGCCCUUAAAUUUUUUGGGAAUGAAAUGAAAGCAGUUUGCCUAAAACGGCAAAAAGCAGCAUAGGCAGCUUGUGUCCCAUUUUCUGUUUUGGUGGAAUUUGGUGGCUCCAAUAAGCAGAUUACGCUAUCCAUACAUGAGCCUACAAUACAUUAUUAUAGCCGUCUCGGUAGAGUCAUGGUCUGCUAUAAUUCGACUGAUGGCACUUGGCACUGUCCCUGUGCAAAGGCUCGCACAACCUGUACUCACAAAAACAUUCGUAAUGGUACUUGUUUCAAAUUAAUAGAGACUUGUUCAAGAUUGGACCAUCUAAAUCAGCAGAUGCACAAACAAUGCAAGGGGGUAUUUAUGUGCCCAACAUUGAUUUGCAAAGAAGUGUGCAAUAUGUUUUUGAUGAAAAAAAAAAACCUGCUUUCCUCCCAGAUGCAAUAAGCAAACCCAAGUCAUUACUUGAGUAUCCUACACAGUUGUGUCCUGUGGAAACAAAAUGUACAUUUUGUUUUGAACAAUUUGUACUUGAAAUGCCUCUGUUGGUCACAAAAAAGGCCAAAAUUGCAACAAUGGUAGGUGUAUUGCAUGAUGUUUGAGUCUACACAAGAAGAUGCCCAGUAUGUCAUGUGCUUUACAGGUAUCAGGAAUGGCAGGACGGACUACACAAUUUCGAUAAUCACUUGUUUCUAAGUCUUGAACUUUUUCUGUACCUUAGACAAGGCUUGCAGAAUCAUAUUUCAACAUAUAGAGCCAUCAACACUUUGGAAGGCCUCAGGGGAGUCCAAUACCGAAACAGAGACAGCCUUCUCAAUGGUUACUUGCAUUUUGAAGCAUUAACAGAUAAUGACAACAGUUAUUCAUGUGUAAACUGUGGAUACCAUCCCCCAGUUGUUAUCAUGGAUCUUCAUAAAAAAGGUGUUUUCUGCUUAGCAGUGAGUGACCUCAAAGAGCUACCUGGCGAAUUCAAAGGCGAAGUGGACAUCGAACAGUUCUGGCGAUCUGUUUGUCUUGAGAUGGUUGCACGUGGAUUCUUUCAAAGUCAUGCGCAGAACCCAUUUUCAGUGGAACCCACCUAUAAGAACUGGGUUCCAUGGAUUGGUAAACAUACAAGGUAAGCCCAAAUAGUACUCAGUACUGAGUAUGAGAAAGUAACAACUUCAAAGAGUGCUCCAGAAGAAGCACAGAUCAUUAAUUUAUUCGAAGAUUGUCUUGUGGAUGAGUUAAUGAAGCAGAAGGUAGAUGGAUUUAAGUAUUUGUUACUAAAUCAGUUAAGAUGAAGUGUAGGGGAACUAUGGUCUUUGUUAUGGCAUGUUUAAUGACAUUUUAUUAUUACCUGUAUUAGGUUGGAGUUGUCAUGAUGCUCCAACAAUGAUGGACGGAUUAAAAGGCAGAAGUCUACGUGACCAUCAUCAUC